AUACGGAGGAUCCAAGCGUUAUCCGGAUUUAUUGGGUUUAAAGGGUGCGCAGGCGGAUCAAUAAGUCAGGGGUGAAAAAUUUCAGCUUAACUGGAAUCGUGCCUUUGAUACUGUUGGACUAGAGUAUAAUUGACGUGACUGGAAUGUGAUGUGUAGCGGUGAAAUGCUUAGAUAUGUCACAGAACGCCAAUCGUGAAGACAGGUCACGAAAUUAUUACUGACGCUCAUGCACGAAAGCGUGGGGAUCAAACAGGAUUAGAUACCCUGGUAGUCCACGCUGUAAACGAUGAUUACUCGUUGUUGGGCAGUGAUGCUCAGUGGCUAAGCGAAAGCGAUAAGUAAUCCACCUGGGGAGUACGAUCGCAAGGUUGAA
rnacentral:rRNA from 1 species